AGUCGAGGGGCAGCAUUUUAGUUUGCUUGCAAACUAAAGAUGGCGACCGGCGCACGUNUGAGUAACACGCUAUCCAACCUGCCGAUAACUCGGGGAUAGCCUUUCGAAAGAAAGAUUAAUAUCCGAUAGUAUAUUAAAACCGCAUGGUUUUACUAUUAAAGAAUUUCGGUUAUCGAUGGGGAUGCGUUCCAUUAGUUUGUUGGCGGGGUAACGGCCCACCAAGACUACGAUGGAUAGGGGUUCUGAGAGGAAGGUCCCCCACAUUGGAACUGAGACACGGUCCAAACUCAUACGGGAGGCAGCAGUGAGGAAUAUUGGUCAAUGGACGAGAGUCUGAACCAGNCCAAGUAGCGUGAAGGAUGACUGCCCCUAUGGGUUGUAAAACUUCUUUUAUAUGGGAAUAAAGUAUUCCACGUGUGGGNAUUUUGUAUGUACCAUAUGAAUAAGGAUCGGCUAACUCCGUGCCAGCAGCCGCGGUAAUACGGAGGAUCCGAGCGUUAUCCGGAUUUAUUGGGUUUAAAGGGAGCGUAGGUGGAUUGUUAAGUCAGUUGUGAAAGUUUGCGGCUCAACCGUAAAAUUGCAGUUGAAACUGGCAGUCUUGAGUACAGUAGAGGUGGGCGGAAUUCGUGGUGUAGCGGUGAAAUGCUUAGAUAUCACGAAGAACUCCGAUUGCGAAGGCAGCUCACUAGACUGCAACUGACACUGAUGCUCGAAAGUGUGGGUAUCAAACAGGAUUAGAUACCCUGGUAGUCCACACAGUAAACGAUGAAUACUCGCUGUUUGCGAUAUACAGUAAGCGGCCAAGCGAAAGCAUUAAGUAUUCCACCUGGGGGAGUACGCCGGCAACGGUGAAACUCAAAGGAAUUGACGGGGGCCCGCACAAGCGGAGGAACAUGUGGUUUAAUUCGAUGAUACCCGAGGAACCUUACCCGGGCUUAAAUUGCAUUUGAAUAAUCUGGAAACAGGUUAGCCGCAAGGCAAAUGUGAAGGUGCUGCAUGGUUGUCGUCAGCUCGUGCCGUGAGGUGUCGGCUUAAGUGCCAUAACGAGCGCAACCCUUAUCUUUAGUUACUAACAGGUCAUGCUGAGGACUCUAGAGAGACUGCCGUCGUAAGAUGUGAGGAAGGUGGGGAUGACGUCAAAUCAGCACGGCCCUUACGUCCGGGGCUACACACGUGUUACAAUGGGGGGUACAGAAGGCAGCUACCUGGCGACAGGAUGCUAAUCCCAAAAACCUCUCUCAGUUCGGAUCGAAGUCUGCAACCCGACUUCGUGAAGCUGGAUUCGCUAGUAAUCGCGCAUCAGCCAUGGCGCGGUGAAUACGUUCCCGGGCCUUGUACACACCGCCCGUCAAGCCAUGAAAGCCGGGGGUACCUGAAGUACGAACCGCAGGAG
rnacentral:rRNA from 1 species